rnacentral:rRNA from 1 species
CCGUCGCGGGCGUAGGAAAUUUGAGAGGAUCUGCUCCUAGUACGAGAGGACCAGAGUGGACUUACCGCUGGUGUACCAGUUGUCUCGCCAGAGGCAUCGCUGGGUAGCUAUGUAGGGAAGGGAUAAACGCUGAAAGCAUCUAAGUGUGAAACCCACCUCAAGAUGAGAUUUCCCAUAACUAUAUGUUAGUAAGAGCCCUGAGAGAAGAUCAGGUAGAUAGGUUAGGAGUGGAAGUUGUGUGAGCAAUGGAGCGGACUAAUACUAAUAGCUCGA